rnacentral:rRNA from 1 species
UACGAAGGGGGCUAGCGUUGCUCGGAAUCACUGGGCGUAAAGCGCACGUAGGCGGACUCUUAAGUCAGGGGUGAAAUCCUGGAGCUCAACUCCAGAACUGCCUUUGAUACUGAGAAGCUUGAGUCCGGGAGAGGUGAGUGGAACUGCGAGUGUAGAGGUGAAAUUCGUAGAUAUUCGCAAGAACACCAGUGGCGAAGGCGGCUCACUGGCCCGGUACUGACGCUGAGGUGCGAAAGCGUGGGGAGCAAACAGG